rnacentral:rRNA from 1 species
GAUGAACGCUAGCGGCAGGCUUAAUACAUGCAAGUUGAGGGGCAGCAUGAUAUACGCGAGUAUAUUGAUGGCGACCGGCGGACGGGUGAGUAAUAGGUAGGAGACCUACCUCAUACAGGGGGAUAGCAUAGAGAAAUCUGUGGUAAUACCCCAUGAGGUUAUAUGAAUAGAGGCAUAUAAUCAAAGCAUAAGCGAUUAUGCGGUAUGAGAGGGGCCUACUGACCAUUAGCUAGUUGGUGAGGUAAGGGCUCACCAAGGCGAAGAUGGUUAGGGGUUUUGAGAGAGAGACCCCCCACAUUGGAACUGAGAGACGGUCCAGACUCCUACGGGAGGCAGCAGUAGGGAAUAUUGGGCAAUGGGCGAAAGCCUGACCCAGCCAUGCCGCGUGAAGGAAGACGGCCUUAUGGGUUGUAAACUUCUUUACUACGCGAAUAGAGGUUAGUACGAGAUACUAAUAGGAAGGUAGUGUAGUAAAAGCACGGCUAACUCCGUAG